rnacentral:rRNA from 1 species
UACAGAGGUCUCAAGCGUUGUUCGGAUUCAUUGGCGUAAAGGGUGCGUAGGCGGCGCGGUAAGUCGGGUGUGAAAUCUCGGAGCUUAACUCCGAAACUGCAUUCGAUACUGCCGUGCUUGAGGACUGGAGAGGAGACUGGAAUUACGGUGUAGCGUGAAUGCGUAGAGAUGUGGAGGAACACCAGUGCGAGCGACUUCUGGCUGUAACUGACGCUGAGCGCGAAGCGUGGGAGC